rnacentral:rRNA from 1 species
UACGGGGGGGGCAAGCGUUGUUCGGAAUUACUGGGCGUAAAGGGCUCGUAGGCGGUCAACUAAGUCAGACGUGAAAUCCCCAGGCUCAACCUGGGAACUGCGUCUGAUACUGGAUGGCUUGAAUCCGGGAGAGGGAUGCAGAAUUCCAGGUGUAGCGGUGAAAUGCGUAGAUAUCUGGAGGAAUACCGGUGGCGAAGGCGGCAUCCUGGACCGGCAUUGACGCUGAGGAGCGAAAGCGUGGGGAGCAAACAGG